UACAGAGGUCUCAAGCGUUGUUCGGAUUUAUUGGGCGUAAAGCGUGCGUAGGCGGCGGGGUAAGUGAGGUGUGAAAUCCCGGGGCUUAACUCCGGAACUGCACUUUAUACUGCCUUGCUCGAGGGCUGGAGAGGAGACUGGAAUUUACGGUGUAGCAGUGAAAUGCGUAGAGAUCGUAAGGAAGACCAGUGGCGAAGGCGAGUCUCUGGAAAGCUGCUGACGCUGAGGCACGAAGGCCAGGGGAGCAAACGGG
rnacentral:rRNA from 1 species